rnacentral:pre_miRNA from 1 species
UACGUACUUCUUCCGUUCUAAAUUACUUGUCGCAAGUAUUGUUGUAUCUAAAUGUAUUUUAAUUUUAAAUACAUCCAUUUCUGCGACGAGUAAUUUCAAACGGAGGGAGUAUUAA